rnacentral:rRNA from 1 species
ACUCCUACGGGAGGCAGCAGUGGGGAAUAUUGCACAAUGGGCGCAAGCCUGAUGCAGCCAUGCCGCGUGUAUGAAGAAGGCCUUCGGGUUGUAAAGUACUUUCAGCAGUGAGGAAGGUGGGUAUGUUAAUAGCAUACNCAUUUUGACGUUAGCUGCAGAAGAAGCACCGGCUAACUCCGUGCCAGCAGCCGCGGUAAUACGGAGGGGGGUUAGCGUUGUUCGGAAUUACUGGGCGUAAAGCGCGCGUAGGCGGAUUAUUAAGUUAGAGGUGAAAUCCCCGGGGGCUAACCCCCGGAACUGCCUUUAAUACNGGGUAGUCUUGAGUUCGAGAGAGGGUGAGUGGAAUUUCCGAGUGNAGAGGUGAAAAUUCGUAGAUAUUCGGAGGGAAACACCAGUGGGCGAAAGGCGGCUCACUGGCUCGAUACUGACGCUGAGGUGCGAAAGUGUGGGGAGCAAACAGGAUUAGAUACCCUGGUAGCUACG